rnacentral:rRNA from 1 species
UGAGUAACCUGCCCUUCACUCUGGGAUAACUCCGGGAAACCGGGGCUAAUACUGGAUACGACCUACUCGGGCAUCCGAUGUGGGUGGAAAGAUUUAUCGGUGAGGGAUGGACUCGCGGCCUAUCAGCUUGUUGGUGAGGUAAUGGCUCACCAAGGCGAUGACGGGUAGCUGGUCUGAGAGGACGACCAGCCACACUGGAACUGAGAUACCGGUCCAGACCUCCGUACGGGAG